GCGUGAGAAUCUGCUCUAGGUCGGGGACAACAACUGGAAACGGUUGCUAAUACCCGAUGUGCAGCAAUGUGAAAGAUUUAUUGCCUAGAGAUGAGCUCGCGUCUGAUUAGCUAGUAGGUGUGGUAAUGGCGCACCUAGGCGACGAUCAGUAACUGGUCUGAGAGGAUGACCAGUCACACUGGGACUGAGACACGGCCCAGACUCCUACGGGAGGCAGCAGUGGGGAAUUUUCCGCAAUGGGCGAAAGCCUGACGGAGCAAUACCGCGUGAGGGACGAAGGCUUUUGGGUCGUAAACCUCUUUUCCCUGAGAAGAAGAUCUGACGGUAUCAGGGGAAUCAGCAUCGGCUAACUUCGUGCCAGCAGCCGCGGUAAUACGAGGGAUGCAAGCGUUAUCCGGAAUUAUUGGGCGUAAAGCGUCCGCAGGUGGCUCUGUAAGUCUGUCGUUAAAGAAUGGGGCUCAACCCCAUACAGGCGAUGGAAACUACAAGGCUAGAGUUUGGUAGGGGUCACGGGAAUUCUUAGUGUAGC
rnacentral:rRNA from 1 species